UUCCUACGGGACGCAGCAGUAGGGAAUCUUCCACAAUGGGCGAAAGCCUGAUGGAGCAACGCCGCGUGGGUGAAGAAGGUCUUCGGAUCGUAAAACCCUUUUGCUAGAGAAGAAAGUGCGUGAGAGUAACUGUUCACGUUUCGACGGUAUCUAACCAGAAAGCCACGGCUAACUACGUGCCAGCAGCCGCGGAAAUACGUAGGUGGCAAGCGAUAUCCGGGUUUAUUGGGCGUAAAGGGAGCGGAGGCGGUCUUUUAAGUCUGAUGUGAAAGCCUGCGGCUGAA
rnacentral:rRNA from 1 species